AGGGCGCACGGUGGAUGCCUUGGCACUAGGAGCCGAUGAAGGACGGGACUAACACCGAUAUGCUUUGGGGAGCUGUAAGUAAGCUAUGAUCCAGAGAUUUCCGAAUGGGGGAACCCAAUAUCUUUUAUAGGAUAUUACUUUUCAGUGAAUACAUAGCUGAUUAGAGGUAGACGCAGAGAACUGAAACAUCUUAGUAUCUGCAGGAAGAGAAAGAAAAUUCGAUUCCCUGAGUAGCGGCGAGCGAAACGGGAAGAGCCCAAACCAACAAGCUUGCUUGUUGGGGUUGUAGGACUCCGAUAUGGUAGUCUGUUAGUAUAGUUGAAGGAUUUGGAAAAUUCCGCUAAAGAGGGUGAAAGCCCCGUAGACGAAAUGCUGACAACACCUAGGAGGAUCCUGAGUACGGCGGAACACGAGAAAUUCCGUCGGAAUCCGCGGGGACCAUCCCGCAAGGCUAAAUACUCCCUAGUGACCGAUAGUGAACCAGUACCGUGAGGGAAAGGUGAAAAGCACCCCGGAAGGGGAGUGAAAUAGAUCCUGAAACCGUGUGCCUACAACAAGUCAAAGCUCGUUAAUGAGUGAUGGCGUGCCUUUUGUAGAAUGAACCGGCGAGUUACGAUUGCAUGCGAGGUUAAGUCGAAGAGACGGAGCCGCAGCGAAAGCGAGUCUGAAUAGGGCGAAUGAGUAUGUAGUCGUAGACCCGAAACCAUGUGAUCUACCCAUGUCCAGGUUGAAGGUGCGGUAAAACGCACUGGAGGACCGAACCCACGUACGUUGAAAAGUGCGGGGAUGAGGUGUGGGUAGCGGAGAAAUUCCAAACGAACUUGGAGAUAGCUGGUUCUCUCCGAAAUAGCUUUAGGGCUAGCCUCGGAAUUGAGAAUGAUGGAGGUAGAGCACUGUUUGGACUAGGGGCCCAUCUCGGGUUACCGAAUUCAGAUAAACUCCGAAUGCCAUUCAUUUAUAUCCGGGAGUCAGACUGCGAGUGAUAAGAUCCGUAGUCGAAAGGGAAACAGCCCAGACCACCAGCUAAGGUCCCAAAAUAUAUGUUAAGUGGAAAAGGAUGUGGGGUUGCACAGACAACUAGGAUGUUGGCUUAGAAGCAGCCACCAUUUAAAGAGUGCGUAAUAGCUCACUAGUCGAGUGACCCUGCGCCGAAAAUGUACCGGGGCUAAACAUAUUACCGAAGCUGUGGACUACACCAUUAGGUGUAGUGGUAGGAGAGCGUUCUAAGGGCGUUGAAGGUCGAUCGUGAGGACGGCUGGAGCGCUUAGAAGUGAGAAUGCCGGUAUGAGUAGCGAAAGACAGGUGAGAAUCCUGUCCACCGUAUGACUAAGGUUUCCUGGGGAAGGCUCGUCCGCCCAGGGUUAGUCGGGACCUAAGCCGAGGCCGAUAGGCGUAGGCGAUGGACAACAGGUUGAUAUUCCUGUACCAGUUGUUUUUGUUUGAGCAAUGGAGGGACGCAGUAGGCUAAGGAAUGCAUGCGAUUGGAAGUGCAUGUCCAAGCAAUGAGUCUUGAGUAGAGUUAAAUGCUUUACUCUCUAAGGACAAGUUGUGACGGGGAGCGAAAUAAUAGUAGCGAAGUUCCUGAUGUCACACUGCCAAGAAAAGCUUCUAGUGAGAAAACAACUGCCCGUACCGUAAACCGACACAGGUAGUCGAGGAGAGUAUCCUAAGGUGAGCGAGCGAACUCUCGUUAAGGAACUCGGCAAAAUGACCCCGUAACUUCGGGAGAAGGGGUGCUGACUUCGGUCAGCCGCAGUGAAUAGGCCCAAGCGACUGUUUAUCAAAAACACAGGUCUCUGCAAAAUCGUAAGAUGAAGUAUAGGGGCUGACGCCUGCCCGGUGCUGGAAGGUUAAGAGGAUGGGUUAGCUUCGGCGAAGCUCAGAAUUGAAGCCCCAGUAAACGGCGGCCGUAACUAUAACGGUCCUAAGGUAGCGAAAUUCCUUGUCGGGUAAGUUCCGACCCGCACGAAAGGCGUAACGAUUUGGGCACUGUCUCAACGAGAGACUCGGUGAAAUUUUAGUACCUGUGAAGAUGCAGGUUACCCGCGACAGGACGGAAAGACCCCAUGGAGCUUUACUGUAGUUUGAUAUUGAGUGUUUGUACCACAUGUACAGGAUAGGUAGGAGCCGAUGAGACCGGAACGCUAGUUUCGGAGGAGGCGCUGGUGGGAUACUACCCUUGUGUUAUGAACCCUCUAACCCGCACCACUAAUCGUGGUGGGAGACAGUGUCAGAUGGGCAGUUUGACUGGGGCGGUCGCCUCCUAAAAGGUAACGGAGGCGCCCAAAGGUUCCCUCAGAAUGGUUGGAAAUCAUUCGAAGAGUGUAAAGGCAGAAGGGAGCUUGACUGCGAGACCUACAAGUCGAGCAGGGACGAAAGUCGGGCUUAGUGAUCCGGUGGUUCCGCAUGGAAGGGCCAUCGCUCAACGGAUAAAAGCUACCCUGGGGAUAACAGGCUUAUCUCCCCCAAGAGUCCACAUCGACGGGGAGGUUUGGCACCUCGAUGUCGGCUCGUCGCAUCCUGGGGCUGUAGUCGGUCCCAAGGGUUGGGCUGUUCGCCCAUUAAAGCGGCACGCGAGCUGGGUUCAGAACGUCGUGAGACAGUUCGGUCCCUAUCCGUCGCGGGCGUUGGAAAUUUGAGAGGAGCUGUCCUUAGUACGAGAGGACCGGGAUGGACUUACCGCUGGUGUACCAGUUGUUCUGCCAAGGGCAUUGCUGGGUAGCUAUGUAGGGAAGGGAUAAACGCUGAAAGCAUCUAAGUGUGAAGCCCACCUCAAGAUGAGAUUUCCCAUUUCU
rnacentral:rRNA from 1 species